rnacentral:lncRNA from 1 species
UGAGCUGGUCAAUCCAGGAAAUUUAUACUCAAAAUUUUUCUUAAGAAUACAUGUAAUUUUACAAGACCAUUCAUCAUAGCACCAAGCCCAAUAUUCCUUUAUAGAAAACAGUCAAAUAACAAAGACUCCAGUUAAUUUCCCGCAGGUAUAAAUUAUGCAAAUAGUCAUUUAUAUCUUCAUUUACAAUAAUCAAUAAAUAAGAGGGCACGUUCAUACAGUUUUUUUGUACAAAGAUACCUUUUUACAAAGCUACAGCUACGUAUAUAACUAAAUAGACAAAAUAAUUCUCGUACACAAAAUAACAUUUCGUUUUUUUCAAUAGUUCUCUAGAGCUCUCGGUAAAAAUUUUCAGACAUUAUCAAUCAAGUCCUGCCAUGACAUUAAAAGAAACUGUAGCAUUAAAUCUGUUAAACAUACUGCCGACCUUGAAAAAAUACACACCGAUCCUCCUCAGGAAAGGAAAACACAGCAUGUUUUAAACAAACUCCUAUUUCCAGAGUUAAUACAUAUUUUUCUUCAGCUGCACCCGUGGCAUAUGAAGGUGGCCAGGCCAGGGACUGCAUCAGAGCCGCAGCUGUGACCUACGCCCCAGCUGCAACUGGAUCCUUCACCCGCUGUGCCACAGCGGGAGCUCGUCAGGUUUAAGAACUUCUCCCGACCACGUACAGUAAAGAACCACCAUUCUUCCACGUUUACUCUGUCUUUGGCUGAUGCUACCAACACCACUGCAAGUGAUGCAGGCAGCUAACUUAUGGUGCAAUUUCAAGGCAAAGGGAUCUGCUUCCUGGGACACCCUCCCUGCAGUACCACACCCACCCUAGGGACAGUCUACACAAACAUGCCAGUCUUUGGCUUAAGGGACCCCGUGCUAGAAUGCAAGCAGCCUCUGUUUCCAAGGGGACUUUCUAUGCCUACGCAUCUCGAGUCUUGGAGAGGAAGGGGGAAUAGCGGGAAAGAACGGGAAGUCUGUUGUCCAUGGUUAUCGAGUCCUUCAGCUGAGCUCGUGAAUCUGAAAGAAAGUCCCCUGGGAAACGGCCUCAGACGGUGACUUAAUUCAAGGCGACCAGUUCAGAUCAGAUCAGACCAGUUCAGAAGCAGAUCUCUCACGUCCCACCCCCAAUGUUCAACCCCACGCCUUCAACAGACUACCUUUCAUUGUUCCAACCCCCAGGCACCUUUCCCCGAUACUAAAGCCAGAAGCACAGCUCUAAGCUUUGGAAUUCACUUACAGAUACAGAGGUGCAUUUAUUUAAGCAAAUAGGUCACUUACUGAGGUUAAAAACAAACAGAAACAACAACAACAACAAAAACCCUGAAAAACUAACUUGCUAGACUUCCGGAUUUUUAAACCCAGGAAGAACUUUUAAAGAGAUCUUCCAACUUCUGACCCAGAGAGGUAAAUGAAUUAUUCAAGGUGUCACAGCAGGUGAGCUGGAGCUGAGAUGAGGCUUCUCGAUGCCCAGGCCAGUACUGUCCUACUUUGGGACAAUGUCAGCUCUUUAGGUGACAAACACUGAGUUUCCUUUUUAAAAGUCUUUCAAUCAGAGUUCCCCUUGUGGCUCAGCAGAAACUGAAUCUGAAUGGCAUCCAUGAAGAUGCAGGUUUGAUCCCUGGUCUCGCUCAGUGGGUUAAGGAUCUGGCAUUGCCACUGGCCUCACUCAGUGGUGUAGGCUGCAGACAGCUCGGAUCCCACGUUGCUGUGGCUGUGAUGUAGGCCGGCGGCUACGGCUCCAAUUAGACUCCUAGCCUGGGAACCUCCAUAUGCCAUGGGUGCCGUCCUUAAAAAAAAAAAAAAAGGCUUUCCAUCCUUGCAUGACAUUUAGCAAUACCGGCACAUUGUGGCUGUCCUCAUACCACAGUCUUAGAGAGAAAAUGCCCUUCCUGACUUCUGCUGCCGCUAAAAGAAUCAGUAGCUGUGCAAAUGGCAGAAACCUAGCAAACGAUAUGUUUUCUCUUCGUUUUUGCAAUAAUGCAAUGAUCACAACUUUCAAAUUCAAAACAAAGGAAAACGGAUGAUUCCUGUCUCACAGACCAAGCAGCUAGGACUUUGUGGAGGUGAUGGAGGCUCUUUACCCGUUUGUCGUCUCUGCCGGGCGCAGUGAGAUCUGCUUUUCCAAGAACAGAGCCUCACUUCUUACUCUGAAAAUCGGGUGCUGCAAGUGGAGAGUCAAGGGCGGGGGAAGUUAAUUAAAGUCCCUUAAGUCUUGGCUGCUGGACACUGAGGUUAUGCUGCUAAAGUGCUGCUAAACUUUAUGCACAGUCAUUUUGGUGGCAAAUUUGCAACCCUAAGCUAAUACCUGAACUUGGGGCAUCCCCAGUCAUUAAAAAAAAAAUCUUUCAUUUACGUUUAAUUGAAGUAUAGUUGAUGUCUAAGAUUACUCUGUCACGUUUGUGACUGAGGAUGAAGGAGAUAUUUAAGCAGUGUUGACAUGGGGGGGUCAAAGUGUGCAGAGACCUGGGAAGAGGGAAAUACAAAGUGGGGGCUGCCAUGGACUAAUAAACUGUGUCAUUUUCCCAAUGCCGAUUUCCACCCUCGCUUGCCAACGAGGCCAAAGUCACCAAGACUCAGCAUCUCACCAGGGCGUGACUCAUUUUCUAAGCAUGAGGUCCAGGGUGGAAACGAACGUUUGCAAGUAAGAGUCCUAUGGCCGCGAUUCUGCCACUUGCCCGCUCGAGGGCUUCCUUCCUGUGUUUUACUUUCCUCUCGGAAAGACCCACCUCCCGUGAUUGUCACGAGCGCCCAGUGAGCUCAUGGGGAGACGCCGGCUUCGGCUUCCUCUUGCGAAAGGCAUGGUUUAGAUUUGAGACGGGGCGGCUGGCGAGAUGGCAGUGCAGUGGGGAGAGGCUGGGAGAGGCUGUGGCGAACUGAACGCAGGGCAAAGGGGGAACGUCAGAGCCUGGAGAGGGCCCCGCACACGAGGAGCCCCUGGGCCCUCUACGACCUCCUAGCAAGCUCGCUGUGAAGCUAUGCUCAUUCGACAAUUACGUCCAGAGAGUCUGCUCUGCGCAGAAGAUGCUCAGAGCAGGAAUGUGGCCCAGAAGACGGAGCCAGGGCUUGCACCCAGCUCUGGCUGCUGCCCAAAGCAGCCCUCUUCCCUUAUCCCAGAAAACCUCCUGGGAAAGAGGGAGGGAGUGAUUUAAAAAAAAAAAAAAAAAGGCGUUGGGCGGGGGGGGGGGACCUCCGUUAAAGAGAUUCCUGCUGGAUGAAAGGCAGCCUUGACACCGGAGUGUCGGGGAUUUUAAAGUCCACGGUGGGAUGAGGAGCCUAGAUUGUUGAGUUGUGUGUGUAUUUAAAACCAUGUGGUCCAACAGCACAAAAUACUGUCUUUUUCUCAAAAAAACGAGGCUGUUUUCUCACUUGUCGGUGCUACAGUUCUGGGUGGGGGACAACCUGCCUGGUUAAAUUAAAUAUGCAUAAAUAAGUUAAAAACACUUAAGUGGGCCUUCCCGGUGCUGCGGGGUCUGGCAAUUUCAGAAGAUUCAGAGGGGCCCAGGACUCCUGGGGAAGCAGGGGCUCCGAAUCUGCAGGCCUCUGCCCUUUACUGGGCCAACCCACCCAAGCUGGUUGCACCACGGGGUAGGGGUGCGGGGGGGACCUUUCAAGGCCUGCAGGUCACCUUGGCACUGUCACACAUCAGAGCAAGGAGGCCUGGGGCUCACCUAGAGCCUGAGGACACAGGGCCUGCAUGCGGUGGGCAUGGAAGAUUCGGGGCCAACGCAGGCCAAGUGCACGCUGUACUCACAUCAGGUUCAACCAAGUGCCUGACAAGAAGCAGAGCCCAAAAGAUCUGUGGGACUCAAUGUCCAGCAAAGAAGCCUCAUCUGAUUUCACGGCUCCCUGAGGAGACAAACUCCACAGCAAAUUUCUAGCCGAGAAGCGUGACCUCACUCACGCCAGCUUGCAGCCUUCAGCCGCUCCCCCUGGGUCCUGAGAGCGCCCCACUCAGCAGCUGGAUGGGCCAGAGGAAGAGCCUGUGGUUCCAGGGGGACCCCAGAUGGCAGCUGCAGCCCAAGAAGUUAAACCUUCCCCCAAAGAUGGUUUCCGCGGAGCUGAUGCAACGUCGGGGCAAGAGCCCCAGCACAUCUGGACCAGAAGCACGUCGGGGGCUCUGGUGUCCUGGUAAGCGCGUCACUGGGCAGGUUCUGAGGAGCCAUGCGGGCUUGAAACGCCCACACUGCCCAUCUCAGGGGCUUCAGGACGUGAAGCUGAACACAGGCGGGGGAUUCAGCCGAGCUGGCUGGGCAGGUCUCCAGGCAGAGAGAGGCCACAGCCCCAAACUGCAGGCGGCCUCCUGGAGGCCCUCGGGGGCUCAGAGACACUGCACUUGCAUGAGUCUGCGCCUCAGGCCUGCGCUCCAGCGACAGGGCCACGGGAGUCCUUCUUAACCAAGAAGCGUCGAUGGCUUCUGCUGCCUGGCGAGGUGCGCUCUCCCUGUUUACGGUGGCUCGUGUCUGAGAUUAGCCCCGUGAUGUCCCAAGUGCGCAGUGAGGAGGGAGGCCCAGCUUGGCGUCAGUGGCUGGAGGCUGGAGGUUUGUAGAAAACCUACUUGGGAAUCAAGACGCCCCUCCCGAGGGCACCGACUGUCCCUUCGAGGGGACUAACUAACAGCGUGACUAGUCAUUUCUCCUCCUAGAUCUUCAGGGUUCUCAUUCCUUAGCUGAGGUGCUAGACCCUUCCGUGACCCUAAGGCUAUCAAACAAUCUAUAAUUUAUUCAGGCAGCCUCCAAAUCUUCGGCCACCGCCUGUGAGUCUGACCCUCACAAAGAGCAGGCUAGCACUGCACGGGCAAGAGAGGAGAGGAAGCAGCAGCCCGCGUCCAGGGGUGGCUGUCCUGGGGGCGGGGGGGCUGCCCCACAAGAGGCUGGGUCUGACCAGGAGGACCUGCUGGCCGGGUUCCGAAUAGCCACCCAGCAGAGGGAGCAGCCGGUUUGCUGGCUGCCAGACACCGGUGCGGACUACUUGUUUCCAAGCGAGGUGAGGGUGACAAGGAAAACCUAGAGAGUGCCUGACUGCGGGAGCCUGUGGGGGCAGGAGGUGAAGGGGGAACGCUGUGGUGUCCAGGGGAGCUCGGUGCUGGCCCCCUCUCCGCACGUGGUCCAGUGCCAUAUGAAGGUGCUGGCGGACCAUAGCUCAGCAGGCUUGACAUGUCUGCAGAGCAGCGAGCUACCUGACAGGCAGAGAGAAAGCAUCCGUGGGAUCUGUGGUUCCAGAUGGCGCCUUGAGCACAGCGGCUCAUUUCUUCCCUGGUGAAACCUCACGGAAAUAAGAGCAAAGGAAUGGAUGCCAUGGCAUCAUGAAGACAAAGGGAUGGAGAAGAGCCGACAGCAGCCAAGAGAUGCCAACUCAUUCAAGGCCGGGGCAAAGCUGAGGGCCAGGAGGACUCCUAACACUGGGCACCUGCAGAGGAGAGGCGGGACCCAGAGCCACCCAGCAGCAAGCCUACCCCCCCUGGGGAGGGGAGGGGGGAGCAGAGGGGCUCUAAGCCAGGGACAACUGGCCUCGCGAGGCGAGAGCAAUUCAGCGAGUCUACAUACUGACUGUGAUGAGAAGCCUGCUCAGAGGCCAGGAUGCAGGCACUCGAGUGUGCGUCCAGAUCCCUGGCCACUGUCCUACAGUCUAUGCACUGCACAAAGGCACUUGGCUCCAGGGGCAAUUGAGAGUUAAAAUCUAGCCCUUGCUCUGCUCCUCAAGCCCUUCCUUGGAGAAAAGAGGCAAAAGAUGCCUCCUGCCAGUUUGGUCAAGUGCCCAUGGGUGGCUUCUGCCCAGAGGGGCAUCUAUUUCUAAGUCUGCCACCCAGGGGGAACUCCUUUUUUGAAACUGCACAGGCCAGUAGCAGCCCAUGUAUGUCCCUUUUUCUCAGGCAGGAGAGAGUGGAAAUAUCUCUAAAGAAACACAACAAGCUCUAGAGAAAAGACCUGCAAAUAUGGCUACGUGUGGUCCUCCCGCGAAGGGUCCAGGUGCCCACCUGGUGACCCUACAGAGAAAUCCACCAGUUGAAACAUAGAGCUUCCUAUCCAUUUUUUGAUGUAUCAUUCUUACACAUGAACAGAUCCACAGGGUCACCAGAUAUCUGAACAAGACCCGUACCAUGAAAGACAAGAGAUGGACACUAACCAAGAAAAAGUAAAUUUAGAGAAAAUGAUGACAAACAGCAGAAAAGAACUUCCCCCAAACCCCACUCUCAGUGAACAUCCACAGAGAGAGAAGUUCUGCACCCAUGAAACAAGAACAGGACACUAUGAAACAGAAAAAAAAACAUAAAAUAUUUUGAAAAGUAAGAAUUAAUUAAAUAUUCAUGGGGCAUAUUGAAAAGAUAAAGCUAAAUAACUCUCCCUCGAAAGCAGAUCAAAAGAUUAAAAGAUGAGAAACAGAAAAGAGAGGAAAUAUUGAAGGGUUAGCCUGGGAGGCCCAGCAUUGGAACAACAGGCAGUCCAGAAAGAAAGAAUAGAACCAAUUAUAAGAAAACUUAAGAAAUUUCCCGGGAGAGCCCAGAAGGAGUAGAUGGUUAAGGGCACCGCACCAUCAGGACGGUUCAGAACACUAAGAAUGAAGGGCUCUUAAGUGUUUCUGGGGCAGGGACCCAAGUCACAGCUAAAGCCUGGGAAUCAGAAUGGCACCAGAAAUCUCGACAACUACACUGGGAGCGGGCAGUAGGAGGAUAUUAUUUUCCACUCACAAUUCUAUAUCCAGCUACGCCUGGCUAAGGGCAACAUAAAGACAUUAUCAGUUAUGCAAAAUCUCAAAAAUAAUUAUAGUAUUUUAAUUAUUUUUAAAAUACUAUAUUUUAAAAUACGUUAUUUUUAAAAUACGUUCCUUUUUCUCAGGCAGUUACUAAGGAAUGUGCCACACCAAAACAGUGAUCAGCAUCAGCAAGGGGAGGGGACUUGGUGAGGAAGGACAGGGAACUUCAGCACACUACCUGGCUCAGAAGUAAACAGUCCUCCCACGGCCACACUGAACACAGAUGCGCCAAUAACAUCACCUUUACUCUCUGGGAAAAACGAGGCAGGAUGUGGGUAAGAGCCAGAUCCUUCUCCACUGAGGUAACCAGCCAAUAGGUGUUUCUAUUAAUUUAAAAAAUAAAAAGUAUAAGCAGGUUCUGCAGAAAUGCAAAGGUAAAUAUUAGAAGAAAACAGUUAAGAGAGUUGAAAGCGUUCCUUCUCCGGAGCAAGACACGGGGGAUUGCUAGUUUUCAUGAAAAGCCUUACAGUAUUUGUUCCUUUUUAAACUAUGAAUAUGUCUUACGUGGAAAAGAAUGCAGAGUAAAUUC